GAUUACUCGAUGCAGCCUCCUAACCAGGAGCUUAUUGUGCAAGAUUUGCAUGACAACAUGUGGAUAUUUCGUCACAUUUAUCGUGCUGCUUACUGUCAGGUGACUGAACAUUGGGGGCAUCACUUUAUGAGCAGCCACAAGUCUACCUAUCAGUUCAUAGUGCAGACACAUUCCAGAUACUACUUUGCAGAUGAUGGCUUUCAUUCAUGUUUCAUCGCGAGCACUAUGACAAAGAAGUAAGAAGAAAGCAAGGCAUGCAUGAUCUAGGCAUGCAUGCACAUUCUUCUAAUGCUGAAUUUUCUUUGAAUUUGGAUGUAGUGCUGAUUUUGCUAAGAAUUUGAUGUAUAUUUGCAUGCAAACAAAAUUCGAAUGCUGGGAGUUAUGUACAUAUUCUUAUAAUACUAUCCUAAUUGGAAAA